UUUCGUAAAUUUUGGGUUUUCUGGGGGGUUUUUGCAAUUUUCCCAAGGCCUAUAAAUAGUGGAGAGGUUUUCCCCAAAACCUCACAACACUCUUUUGCCUCUCUCGAUCGCCCAAACCUCCAGACCUUUGAAUCGCCGAUUCCUCAGUUCUAAAACUUCGAAUCACCGAUUCACCCAAUGUCUACCCCCGAUUCCCCAUUGAAGGAAA
rnacentral:lncRNA from 1 species